rnacentral:misc_RNA from 1 species
GUGAAGAACGUAGCGAAAUGCGAUAAGUAAUGUGAAUUGCAGAAUUCAGUGAAUCAUCGAAUCUUUGAACGCACAUUGCGCCCGCCAGCAUUCUGGCGGGCAUGCCUGUUCGAGCGUCAUUUCAACCCUCGCAGCCCAUCUGGGCAGCGGUGUUGGGGACCGGCACCACCGGCGAAGCCCUUAGGGGCCCAGCCGGCGCCGCCCCCGAAAUACAGUGGCGGUCUCGCUGCAGCCUCCCUUGCGUAGUAGCACACCUCGCACCGGAGCGCAGCGCGGCCACGCCGUAAAACCCCCGACUUUCUGAGUUUGACCUCGAAUCAGGUAGGAAUACCCGCUGAACUUAAGCAUAUCAAUAAGCGGAGGA